rnacentral:rRNA from 1 species
GACGAACGCUGGCGGCGUGCCUAAUACAUGCAAGUCGAACGCAGUGGGGACGGGUGCGUAACACGUGGGUAACCUCCCAUCAGAGGGGAUAAAACUUGGAAACAGGUGCUAAACCGAUACUGAUGGAUGGACCCGAGGUGCAUUAGCUAGUCGGUGGGGUAACGGCUCACCAAGGCCACGAUGCAUAGCCGACCUGAGAGGGUGAUCGGCCACACUGGGACUGAGACACGGCCCAGACUCCUACGGGAGGCAGCAGUAGGGAAUAUUCCGCAAUGGACGAAAGCCUGACGGAGCAACGACGCGUGAAUGAAGAAGGUGUUCGGAUUGUAAAACUCUGUUGGUAGAGAAGCGGUAUCUGACCAAAAAGCCACGGCUAACUACGUGCCAGCAGCCGCGGUAAUUC